CAAGUCGAGCGAUGAAACUACUUCGGUAGUGAAUUAGCGGCGAACGGGUGAGGAACACGUGAGGAAUCUGCCUUCAACACUGGGAUAACUCCGGGAAACCGGGGCUAAUACCGGAUACGAGCUCUGAUCGCAUGGUCGGGGCUGGAAAGUUUUUCGGUUGAAGAUGACCUCGCGGCCUAUCAGCUUGUUGGUGAGGUAAUGGCUCACCAAGGCGACGACGGGUAGCCGGCCUGAGAGGGCGACCGGCCACACUGGGACUGAGACACGGCCCAGACUCCUACGGGAGGCAGCAGUGGGGAAUAUUGGGCAAUGGAGGAAACUCUGACCCAGCGACGCCGCGUGCGGGGUGAAGGCCUUCGGGUUGUAAACCGCUUUCAGUAGGGAAGAAGCGAAAGUGACGGUACCUACAGAAGAAGCACCGGCUAACUAUGUGCCAGCAGCCGCGGUAAUACAUAGGGUGCAAGCGUUGUCCGGAAUUAUUGGGCGUAAAGAGCUCGUAGGUGGUUUGAUACGUCGGGUGUGAAAUUCAGGGGCUCAACCCCUGACCUGCAUUCGAUACGGUCAAGCUAGAGUUUGGUAGGGGAGACUGGAAUUCCUGGUGUAGCGGUGGAAUGCGCAGAUAUCAGGAGGAACACCGAUGGCGAAGGCAGGUCUCUGGGCCAAUACUGACACUGAGGAGCGAAAGCGUGGGGAGCGAACAGGAUUAGAUACCCUGGUAGUCCACGCCGUAAACGAUGGGCGCUAGUUGUGCGAACCUUCCACGGUUUGUGCGACGCAGCUAACGCAUUAAGCGCCCCGCCUGGGGAGUACGAUCGCAAGAUUAAAACUCAAAGGAAUUGACGG
rnacentral:rRNA from 1 species